UGGUUAUGGAGAAGCCUAGUCCCC
rnacentral:piRNA from 1 species